rnacentral:rRNA from 1 species
UACGUAGGGUGCAAGCGUUGUCCGGAAUUAUUGGGCGUAAAGAGCUCGUAGGCGGUUCGGCAAGUCGGAUGUGAAAUCUCCACGCUUAACGUGGAGGGGCCAUUCGAAACUGCCGUGACUCGAGUCCGGUAGGGGAGUGCGGAAUUCCCGGUGUAGCGGUGAAACGCGCAGAUAUCGGGAGGAACACCAGUGGCGAAGGCGGCACUCUGGGCCGGAACUGACGCUGAGGAGCGAAAGCGUGGGGAGCGAACAGG